rnacentral:rRNA from 1 species
GGGGAAUCUUGCGCAAUGGGCGAAAGCCUGACGCAGCGACGCCGCGUGGGUGAUGAAGGCCUUCGGGUUGUAAAGCCCUGUGGGAGGAGACGAAUAAGUCGGAGCGAACAGCUCCGAUGAUGACGGUAUCAUCUUAGCAAGCACCGGCUAACUCUGUGCCAGCAGCCGCGGUAAGACAGAGGGUGCAAACGUUGUUCGGAAUUACUGGGCGUAAAGCGUGUGUAGGCGGCUCUGUAGGUCGGAUGUGAAAUCCCUCGGCUCAACCAAGGAAGUGCAUUCGAAACCGCAAAGCUAGAGUGUCGGAGAGGAAGGCAGAAUUCUCGGUGUAGAGGUGAAAUUCGUAGAUAUCGAGAGGAAUACCUGCGGCGAAAGCGGCCUUCUGGACGAACACUGACGCUGAGACACGAAAGCGUGGGGAGCAAA